UACAGAGGGGGCGAGCGUUGUUCGGAAUUACUGGGCGUAAAGGGCGCGUAGGCGGCCAACUAAGUCAGACGUGAAAUCCCUCGGCUCAACCGGGGAACUGCGUCUGAUACUGGAUGGCUUGAAUACGGGAGAGGGAUGCGGAAUUCCAGGUGUAGCGGUGAAAUGCGUAGAUAUCUGGAGGAACACCGGUGGCGAAGGCGGCAUCCUGGACCGAGAUUGACGCUGAUGCGCGAAAGCCAGGGGAGCAAACGGG
rnacentral:rRNA from 1 species